CUGCUGCCUUCCGUAGGAGUCUGGGCCGUGUCUCAGUCCCAGUGUGGGGGGCCUUCCUCUCAGAACCCCUACGCAUCGUCGCCACGGUGGGCCGUCACCCCGCCGUCUAGCUAAUGCGCCGCAUGCCCAUCCGCCACCGGAUCGCUCCUUUGGCCACCGGAGGAUGCCCUCCGGUGGCGUCACGGGGUAUUAGGCCGCGUUUCCGCGGGUUAUCCCCCUGUGGCGGCCAGGUUGCAUACGUGUUACUCACCCGUGCGCCGGUCGCCGGG
rnacentral:rRNA from 1 species